UACAGAGGUCUCAAGCGUUGUUCGGAUUCAUUGGGCGUAAAGGGUGCGUAGGUGGCGGGGUAAGUCAGGUGUGAAAUCUCGAGGCUCAACCUCGAAACUGCACUUGAUACUGCCUUGCUCGAGUACUGGAGAGGAGAUUGGAAUUUACGGUGUAGCAGUGAAAUGCGUAGAUAUCGUAAGGAAGACCAGUGGCGAAGGCGGGUCUCUGGACAGUUCCUGACGCUGAGGCACGAAGGCCAGGGGAGCAAACGGG
rnacentral:rRNA from 1 species